rnacentral:tRNA from 1 species
GGUAAAAUGGCUGAGAUGUAGGUAAUAAACUGUAAAUUUAUUUAGGAAAUUUUAAUUUCUUUUACCA